AAGAGACAUGGUAGCCAAGAAGA
rnacentral:piRNA from 1 species